UUAUGGAAACGCUAGAAUGACG
rnacentral:misc_RNA from 1 species